GCCGUAUUUAGCCCAAACCACAUUCAAUUUAAUUACUCCACCAACUAAAUCAAAACAUUCACCACCCCUUAAAAGUAUAGGAGAUAGAAAUUUUAACUGGCGCCAUAGAGAGAGUACCGCAAGGGAACAGUGAGAGAAAAAACCAAAGCACAAAACAGCAAAGAUUACCCCUUCUACCUUUUGCAUAAUGAUUUAACUAGAAUAACCUAGCAAAGAGAACUUAAGUUAGCACCCCCGAAACCAGACGAGCUAUUCACGAGCAGCCUAACAGGGCAAACUCGUCUAUGUGGCAAAAUAGCGAGAAGACUCGUGAAUAGAGGUGACAAGCCUACCGAGCCUGGUGAUAGCUGGUUGUCCAGAAAUGAAUUUUAGUUCAAACUUAAGCCUGCCUAAUAGAACUCUAACUUAACUGUAGACUUAAGAGAUACUCUAAAAGGGGACAGCCUUUUAGAUCAGGGAUACAACCCUCUCUAGAGAGUAAGCACAAUAACAGACCAUAGUUGGCCUAAAAGCAGCCACCAAUAAAGAAAGCGUUCAAGCUCAACAACAUGCCCCCCCCAAUCCCAAAAGAAGCUGCCAACUCCUAGUACAAAACUGGACUACUCUAUAACGACAUAGAAGAAAUACUGUUAAUAUGAGUAACAAGAAUUAUUUCUCCCCGCACAAGUGUAUAUCAGAUCGGAUGCCCGCUGAUAGUUAACAGACAUAAAGCAAAAUAAAUAACAAGCCCUUCAUAUACCCAACUGUUAACCCAACACAGGUGUGCCUCAAGGAAAGAUUAAAAAGAGUGAAAGGAACUCGGCAAACACAAACCCCGCCUGUUUACCAAAAACAUCGCCUCUAGCAUUAUCAGUAUUAGAGGUACUGCCUGCCCAGUGACAUACGUUCAACGGCCGCGGUAUCCUGACCGUGCAAAGGUAGCAUAAUCACUUGUUCUCUAAAUAGGGACUUGUAUGAAUGGCCACACGAGGGUUUUACUGUCUCUCACUCUAAAUCAGUGAAAUUGACCUCUCCGUGAAGAGGCGGAGAUAAUACAAUAAGACGAGAAGACCCUAUGGAGCUUUAAUUAACUAGCCUAAAAGCACUCAUCAAUUCCAAAAGGAAUAAACCAGCCUCCAACUAGGCUAGCAAUUUAGGUUGGGGUGACCUCGGAGUAUAAAACAUCCUCCGAGAAAUACAAGUUUAGACCUACCAGUCUAAGCAACACUACCUAUUGAUCCAAAACAUUUGAUCAACGGAACAAGUUACCCUAGGGAUAACAGCGCAAUCCUAUUUAAGAGUUCCUAUCGACAAUAGGGUUUACGACCUCGAUGUUGGAUCAGGACAUCCUAAUGGUGCAGCAGCUAUUAACGGUUCGUUUGUUCAACGAUUAAAGUCCUACGUGAUCUGAGUUCAGACCGGAGUAAUCCAGGUCGGUUUCUAUCUAUUUUAUGCCUCUCCCAGUACGAAAGGACCAGAGAGACAAGGCCAACUUUAUUAAAGCGCCUUCAAAAACAAACAGAUGAUACAAUCUUAAUCUGACAUUUUAUAAACAUAUCACCCCAAGACCAGGGUU
rnacentral:rRNA from 1 species